rnacentral:SRP_RNA from 1 species
AGCCGGACUAGGCCGGGGAACUAGGCGAUCCCUGUUACCCGAAGUCUAUACGCGGGGGCGACAGCCUGAAGAGACCCACCAGACUUCCGUUGGUCCCUGAGGAAUCGGUGAAGUUCUGUCCCUUUGGAUCGAAGGUUUGGGAUUCUGGGAUCGAAGGAACCCAGGAUUUCAAUUUGCCAGGAGAACCCGCCAGGACCGGAAGGGAGCAACGGUAUCCUGGACUCUUGAUGCUGAAGGGGUGCGGAACCGAGAGGAUGCAGGGGGAAGCCAGCGGGACAUCUGGCCCGAUUCAGGCGUGUCCGGUA